GUAGGGCCUAAGCUACAAUCGAACCGGCAUUGGGUUGGUUAGCUGUGUGUACGGUGGUGGCUCUGUUCGACUGGUGUGACCGAUACAUCGUACAGUCCGUCAUAUUCCCGGUUUGAAAGCAAGAUUGUGACUAGUUGUUGCGACGCAGGAAGGUGCAGUAAUCAGUGUUACGGGUGUCAAGAAAGUUAGCCGGCCAUGGAAAAACGAAUAGAGCUUGAGAAACGUGGAAGAAAUCCUGCUGAAAUUACAGAAUUUGUACUGGACAAUUGUCGGAGUACAAAUAUUGUAGGCCUCACAGAUGAAUUUGUCGCUUUAAAGUCUUUAAGUUUAAUUAACGUAGGACUCACAAGUUUAAAAGGCUUUCCUGUUUUACCCAAUCUUCGAAAGUUGGAAUUAAGUGACAACCGAAUUUCUGGAGGUUUAAAUCUUCUUCUCACAAGCCCAAAGUUAACUUACCUUAACCUUAGUGGAAACAAAAUUAAAGAUCUUGAAACAUUACAACCAUUAAAAGAAUUUCAAAAUCUACAAAACUUGGAUUUAUUUAACAAUGAAGCUACAAAUAUGGAUAAUUAUAGAGAAAAGGUGUUUAGUCUCAUCCCUAGUUUAAGAUAUCUUGAUGGAUUUGAUAUAGAAGAUUGCGAGGUAGAUGACAGUGAAGCCAAUGAAGAAGGUAGUGAAGAUGACGAGGUAAAUGGUAAUGACGAUGGAGAAGGUGAAGCUAAUGAAGAUGACAGCGAAGAUGAAAGUGAAGAAAUGACAGACGAUGAAGAUAAGGACAUUCGCGAUGAACUUAAUGAGAGUAGUGAUGAUGAUGAUGACGGAAAUGGAGAAGAUGAGGAAGAUGAUCAUGACGACGAUGAUGAAGAUAGUCAUGAUGGACUUUCUGAUCAAGCAGAUGGAAGCGCCCUUGAAGAUGCAUCACCUGUGCGAGGUAAAAAAAGAAAACACGAAGAUGGAGGAGAACCAGGGAACUAGAAUUUAAAUAAAAGAUUUGAUAUUAAAUAAGUGUAAAAUUGAUUAAAUAUUAAGAAUAAUUGCGCCGCCAAGAAAGAACAGCUGGGAAUCAAACAUAUGACCGACCAACGACAGACUUCUAGUUAGUGGUAUUGAGUAGGAGCACUAAUCAUUGACUGAAAGUUGCCUGGAACAAAUUUAAUAAUAAAAUAAACAAGGAAAGACAGUAAUAAUAAUACAAAAGGAAAAAUUGAAAAAGUAAGAUAAAUGGGCCGUAUUCCAGCAAGACCCAACACGUUUAAGUUACAUAACGAUAUUUUAUAUAGAGUAUAUAGCUAGAUAAUUAGAGACAUUGCAUAGUCAAGUGGGAGAUUGGAUAAUGAAUGUUUGUAUUAAAAUAAAGAAGAUAUCGAGAUUUAACCCUCGAAGGAGCGUAUUUGUCUGUUAGCUCCAAUCGACCAAAGUCUGGUCGUGCUGGAAUUCAGCCAUCUUUAAUCCGUAAUAAGGUUUAUGAAAUACAUGGUUGGAGGUGCACUGUGCGACUGUAAUUUUUGGGACAGAAAGUGUAUAAAAAAACGUAAAAUUAAUCAAAUUUACAUGAUAAUAAGUAAUGCAAUCGAUUAAAUGUCCAAUUUUGUAUGUAUGGUGACUGAUCAGUAAUUGAAUUUUUUGUUUGAUUGUAUCGCAAAAUUACGUUGAUUCUUGACACGAAAUUUUCUUUACAACAAAUGCUCAAUCAUUUUUUCGUUUCUUGUUGAAUUGAAAAUACGGUUGACACUCUUAUUUUAUUUAUAGAAUUCUUUCUUAUACAACAAAAUUUACUAUAAAAAUCAAAUUAGAUUCAAGAUAGAAAUAAGAGUUUCAAUGAUAAAAUUGUUACAGACCACUAUGUGCGCCUACCAAAGCGACAUUGAAAUUAUUAUUAUUGCUACUACUUUUAUUAUUAUUAAUUAUUAUAAAUAUUAUUAUUAUUACUAUUUUCAUUGUAACUGUUACUAUAAUUAUAGUUAUUAAUAUUAUUAUUUUUAAAAUAGUUAUAAAAAUAUAAUCACGUCUUUGCCAUUUUAAAAUGAAUAUAAAAAAAUUAUGAUAUUUUAACACAAAAGUAAUAUUUGAUGUUGAUCCUUGUGAAAACAUCUGAAAUUUAAAAUUAAGCGUCAAAAUUUCUGUCCCAAAACAUCUUUAUGUACUGACCUACUGCUAAUGUAUGCGAUGUGAACAUAACUUGUAACCAUUCACAUUAAUAUGGUCAUGAAGAGAAAAUAUAUUUCUAAAACAAAACAAGAAUCAAUUUUGACAAUUGCAUUAGUGGAUUUAUAAAUCAAUCGGCGCAAAAAAAUAUUGUCAGAGAUUAGUCGACUUAUUUAAGAAAGGAAAAAGACUGUGACCAAUUGACGGAACUGACUAAAAUUGACUACCUGACUGUAAGGAUGGAUGAAGCGUGAAAAAAGGUGAGAAUGUAAGAGAAAAUGAAUUUUAUAAAUAAAUGAAAAUUUAACAUAAAAAAACGGUAGAUGCCAGGACCUGGUGCGCCCUUGUUGCCAGAUUGGUUAUUGCCUUAUCCAAAUUUUUCAAGACUUUGAAAGCAUAUUUAUCUUAGGUAACAUAAAAUCGACAUGUACAGGUCCAAAAUUUGUAAAUUCCUAUUAAAUGUAAUUACAGUCCGUGCGCAAACUAAUGCAAUAGAAUAUUAACGUUAAACAAAUGAUUUAUUGUUGCGCACAUUCUGUGAUACAUAGCACCGAUAUUCAUUGUACUUUUUUUAAUUUAUUAUCAAUUGUGUAAUGCUAUUUUGUUUCUCCAGAAUAUUAACAGCUAAUAUCUGUCGGUUCUGGUGUUAAGUAGAUUUUUACCAUGAAAUUUGUUUUUCGAGCAAUCCUUAUCAAAAAAGAAAAAAAUUCAAAAUAAUUUAUUAAUAAAACCACUUAUAAAUCUA
rnacentral:misc_RNA from 1 species